rnacentral:tmRNA from 1 species
GGGGGUGUUCUGGAUUCUACCCUUGGUUGGAGUGCGCCGCUGCCUGUCGAGAGUUGUGGGUCUCUCGUUAAAUCCCCUGCAAAACAAACAAACGGCAAAACUGAAGAAAUGCCCCUGGCUGCCUAAGUGCAGCCUCGUUGGUCCCGCGACACCUGCUAGCGGGAACUGACGUCGAUAGCAGGCAUAGCGCGUGGAGCCGUCCGCGGACUGCGCGCCGUAACUUCAUCCGGGGACUGGCUGGGGUCUCAGCGCGUGCGAUGGCGUGACCCCGGCGAGAUUAAAGUCGCACUACUACAGGUAGACGCGGUGCACAAAGGCCUGGGGCACGUGGGUUCAACUCCCACCACCUCCAUUU